UACGAAGGGGGCUAGCGUUGCUCGGAAUCACUGGGCGUAAAGCGCACGUAGGCGGACUCUUAAGUCGGGGGUGAAAUCCUGGAGCUCAACUCCAGAACUGCCUUCGAUACUGGGAGUCUCGAGUCCGGGAGAGGUGAGUGGAACUGCGAGUGUAGAGGUGAAAUUCGUAGAUAUUCGCAAGAACACCAGUGGCGAAGGCGGCUCACUGGUCCAUUACUGACGCUGAGGUGCGAAAGCGUGGGGAGCAAACAGG
rnacentral:rRNA from 1 species